rnacentral:rRNA from 1 species
GACGAACGCUGGCGGCGUGCUUAACACAUGCAAGUCGAACGGAAAGGCCCUGCUUUUGUGGGGUGCUCGAGUGGCGAACGGGUGAGUAACACGUGAGUAACCUGCCCUUGACUUUGGGAUAACUUCAGGAAACUGGGGCUAAUACCGGAUAGGAGCUCCUGCUGCAUGGUGGGGGUUGGAAAGUUUCGGCGGUUGGGGAUGGACUCGCGGCUUAUCAGCUUGUUGGUGGGGUAGUGGCUUACCAAGGCUUUGACGGGUAGCCGGCCUGCGAGGGUGACCGGCCACAUUGGGACUGAGAUGCGGCCCAGACUCCUACGGGAGGCAGCAGUGGGGAAUAUUGCACAAUGGGCGGAAGCCUGAUGCAGCAACGCCGCGUGCGGGAUGACGGCCUUCGGGUUGUAAACCGCUUUCGCCUGUGACGAAGUGUGAGUGACGGUAAUGGGUAAAGAAGCACCGGCUAACUACGUG